UUCGGGAUCGUUCAAUGGUAGGACAACAGCCUUUGGAGCUGUGAAUCUACGUUCGAAUCGUAGUCCCGAAG
rfam:Candidatus Gottesmanbacteria bacterium RIFCSPLOWO2_01_FTLL_43_11b rifcsplowo2_01_scaffold_30, whole genome shotgun sequence.